rnacentral:lncRNA from 1 species
CUCCGUGUCAUCUUCACUUCCCAUUGAGAACUCUGCAUUAUCGCUUGCAUCGUCGUAGUGUUCCUCGGAUCCAUUUGACUUCUCAGGUUUUAUUGACUCGGUCUCUGAAUCUGACAUCUCUAAAUGGCUAUAGUUUAUUCGGUUUCUGGUUGCCCUGUUACUGCGUCUUAAACCUGGCUGAAGGUUGCCCACUGACCUCAACUUGGUUUCUCUUCUUGUGCGGCCAGGCAGUUUCUUAAAUUUGCG